UAAGAAUAUUGGACAAUGGGAGAAAGUCUGAUCCAGCCAUGCCGCGUGCAGGAUGAAAGCCCUACGGGUUGUAAACUGCUUUUAUACAGGAAGAAACACUCCGACGUGUCGGAGCUUGACGGUACUGUAAGAAUAAGGAUCGGCUAACUCCGUGCCAGCAGCCGCGGUAAUACGGAGGAUCCAAGCGUUAUCCGGAAUCAUUGGGUUUAAAGGGUCCGCAGGCUGUUUUUUAAGUCAGAGGUGAAAUCCUACAGCUCAACUGUAGAACUGCCUUUGAUACUGAAAAACUUGAGUUAUUGUGAAGUGGUUAGAAUGUGUGGUGUAGCGGUGAAAUGCAUAGAUAUCACACAGAAUACCGAUUGCGAAGGCAGAUCACUAACAAUAUACUGACGCUCAUGGACGAAAGCGUGGGGAGCGAACAGGAUUAGAUACCCUGGUAGUCCACGCCGUAAACGAUGGAUACUAGCUGUUCGUCUAACAUUGGUUAGAUGAGUGGCUAAGCGAAAGUGAUAAGUAUCCCACCUGGGAGUACGGUCGCAAGAUA
rnacentral:rRNA from 1 species